GAUGAAGAACGCAGCGAAAUGCGAUAAGUAAUGUGAAUUGCAGAAUUUAGUGAAUCAUCGAAUCUUUGAACGCAUAUUGCGCCCGCCAGCACUCUGGCGGGCAUGCCUGUUCGAGCGUCAUUUCAACCCUCAGGCCUCGCGUCUGGCGUUGGGGCGCUGCGGCCCUCCCGCAGGCCCCCAAAUUUAGCGGCGGAUUCCCCGCGGCCCUGAGCGCAGUAGAGAGUAAAAACUUUAACGCUCCGGCGGCCGUGGCGCGGUUCUGCCUCUUUCCCAAUAGCGCCAAUAGCGCCACCCCCAAAAAAGUUGACCUCGGAUCAGGUAGGUCUACCCGCUGAACUUAAGCAUAUCAAUAAGCGGAGGA
rnacentral:misc_RNA from 1 species